AAAGCUUCGGCGCUUUGGGAGGGGCCUGCGGCGUAUCAGGUAGUCGGUGAGGUAACAGGCUCACCAAGCCAUUGACGCGUACCUGGUGUGAGAGCACCACAAGCAGAGUGGGACUGAGACACGGACCACACUCCUACCGGGAAGGCAGCAGUGAGGAAUCUUCCGCAAUUGGACGCAAGUCUGAGGGAGCCAUUCCGCCGUGUAGGCAUGACACGCCUCGGGGGCGNUAAACUACUGUUCCUGAAGGAAGACAUUCGGACGGUACUUCAGGAAAAAGCCGUCGGCUAACUACGUGCCAGCAGCCCCGGGUAAUACGUAGGACGCAAGCGUUAUCCGGAAUCACUGGGCGUAAAGCGAUCGAAGGCUGAUUAGUAAGUUUGGAUGUUAAAUACCUACGGCUCAACCGAGGUGCUGCAUUCAAAACUGCUAGACUAGAGGUAUGCAGAGGUAGCUGGAAUUCUCGUUGUAGGGGUUAAAUCCGUAGAUAACGAGAGGAACACCAAAAGCGAAGGCAGGCUACUGGGCAUUACCUGACGCUGCGCGAUCGAAAGCGUGGGGAGCGAAACGGAUUAGAUACCCGUGUAGUCCACGCCCUAAACGAUGGAUGCUCGGCGUUCGGAAUUUCAAUCGUUCUGAGUGUCUAAGCUAACGCGUUAAGCAUCCCGCCUGAGGAGUACGGUCGCAAGAUUAAAACUCAAAGGAAUAGACGGGGAUCCACACAAGCGGUGGAGCAUGUGGUUUAAUUCGACAAUAAGCGGGGAACCUUACCAGGACUUGACAUCUUCGGAACUUUGCAGAAAUGCGAAGGUGCCUUCGGGAACCGAAUGACAGGUGUUGCAUGGUUGUCGUCAGCUCGUGCCUUGAGGUGUUCGGUUAAGUCCGUUAACGAGCGCAACCCUCGUCGUAUGUUGUAUUUUUCAUACGAGACUGCCAGUUUUACGCUGGAGGAAGGUGAGGAUGACGUCAAAUCAGCAUGGCCCUUAUGUCCUGGGCGACACACGUGCUACAAUGGCUGGCACAAAGGGUAGCGAAGUCGUAAGGCGGAGCCAAUCCCAAAAAACCAGUCUAAGUUCGGAUUGAGGGCUGCAACCCGCCCUCAUGAAGUUGGAAUCGCUAGUAACCGUAGAUCAGCCAUGCUACGGUGAAUAUGUUCCUGGAUCUUGUACUCACCGCCCGUCAAGUCAUGAAAGGCAGGGGCGCCCGAAGUGGUGUUAUCCCGAUUUAUCGGGAGCAUCCCUAAGGUGAAACUGCUGACUGGGACUAAGUC
rnacentral:rRNA from 1 species